rnacentral:rRNA from 1 species
GAUGAACGCUGGCGGCGUGCCUAAUACAUGCAAGUCGAGCGAACGGACGAGAAGCUUGCUUCUCUGAUGUUAGCGGCGGACGGGUGAGUAACACGUGGAUAACCUACCUAUAAGACUGGGAUAACUUCGGGAAACCGGAGCUAAUACCGGAUAAUAUUAUGAACCGCAUGGUUCAAAAGUGAAAGACGGUCUUGCUGUCACUUAUAGAUGGAUCCGCGCUGCAUUAGCUAGUUGGUAAGGUAACGGCUUACCAAGGCAACGAUGCAUAGCCGACCUGAGAGGGUGAUCGGCCACACUGGAACUGAGACACGGUCCAGACUACUACGGGAGGCAGCAGUAGGGAAUCUUCCGCAAAGGGCGAAAGCCUGACGGAGCAACGCCGCGUGAGUGAUGAAGGUCUUCGGAUCGUAAAACUCUGUUAUUAGGGAAGAACAUAUGUGUAAGUAACUGUGCACAUCUUGACGGUACCUAAUCAGAAAGCCACGGCUAACUACGUG